UAUUUAUAUAGUUUAAUAAAAAAAACUCUACUUUUUCAUUGUAAAAUUAAAUACCCGUAUUUUAUAAAUAU
rnacentral:tRNA from 1 species